GGAGAGGUGACUGAGUGGUUUAAAGUAUCAAAUUGCUAAUUUGACAUAUAUAUUUAUAUAUAUACAAGGGUUCAAAUCCCUUUCUCUCCU
rnacentral:tRNA from 1 species